rnacentral:rRNA from 1 species
UGAGCGGCGGACGGGUUAGUAACGCGUGGGAACGUGCCCAGAUCUAAGGAAUAGCCACUGGAAACGGUGAGUAAUACCUUAUACGCCCUUCGGGGGAAAGAUUUAUCGGAUUUGGAUCGGCCCGCGUUAGAUUAGGUAGUUGGUGGGGUAAUGGCCUACCAAGCCUACGAUCUAUAGCUGGUUUUAGAGGAUGAUCAGCAACACUGGGACUGAGACACGGCCCAGACUCCUACGGGAGGCAGCAGUGGGGAAUCUUGGACAAUGGGGCAACCCUGAUCCAGCCAUGCCGCGUGAGUGAUGAAGGCCUUAGGGUCGUAAAGCUCUUUCGCCUGUGAUGAUAAUGACAGUAGCAGGUAAAGAAACCCCGGCUAACUCCGUG